rnacentral:rRNA from 1 species
UACGAAGGGGGCUAGCGUUGCUCGGAAUCACUGGGCGUAAAGCGCACGUAGGCGGACUCUUAAGUCGGUGGUGAAAUCCUGGAGCUCAACUCCAGAACUGCCUUUGAUACUGAGGAUCUUGAGUUCGGGAGAGGUGAGUGGAACUGCGAGUGUAGAGGUGAAAUUCGUAGAUAUUCGCAAGAACACCAGUGGCGAAGGCGGCUCACUGGCCCGGUACUGACGCUGAGGUGCGAAAGCGUGGGGAGCAAACAGG